rnacentral:rRNA from 1 species
CAAGAAAUAACAAUACAGGACUUUACGGUUUUGUAAUUGGAAUGAGUUAAGUAUAAACCCCUUUACAAGUAUCAAUUGGAGGGCAAGUCUGGUGCCAGCAGCCGCGGUAAUUCCAGCUCCAAUAGCGUAUAUUAAAGUUGUUGCAGUUAAAAAGCUCGUAGUUGGAUUUCUGUUAAUACCUUAUAUAUAAUAUUUUUUUUUAAAUAUUAUUAUGUAAGAUUAACAUAAUUCAUAUUUUUUAAACUGAAUUUUUAGUUUUGAUAAUAUGAAAUUUUACUUUGAGAAAAUUAGAGUGCUUAAAGCAGGA